UGCAUCGGCAGGCGGACUCUCAACCACUGCGCCACCAGGGAAGCCCUACAAAGAUGACUUUUAAAAGGUACCUUUUUAUUGGUUUGGAAUUGGCAUGGUCCUCUUUUGUAUGUUGUAGUGUAUACCAGUAUGUGUGUUUGUAAAUGCAAAUGCAUACAGGGUGGAAGCUGUAGGGAGGGUUUUAAAAGACAAGUUUAUUAGAAUGAAGUGGCUUGUUAUUUAGCUGAAUUUUGUUUGUGUUUUCCAGUUUUAAUUUCAUUGUCCUCUUUCAUUGAGAAGAGGAAGUAUGGUAAAAUAUCUUCACUAUGAGUGUAAUACUUUACAUUGGCAUUGCAAUAUUUUUUCCUAUUAUAAAAGUCUGUGUUUCCUUCCAGUGAAUUAAGCCCUUGUGUAUUAAACCCUCUUAUUUUGUAGCAUUUGAUACUAAGCAUGAGGAAGAGAUUUAAAAAAGAACGAUAGCUGCAUCUUUAAGAGAAAAUCAGAGUUCUUACCUGCAAAUGUUUGUGAGAGGUGCAGGGCAUAAGUAAAUGUCUUUAAAGUAGCUAAAAAGCAGUGUAUUUGCCGUGGUGUGUGUGCAUUGCUGAGAAGGCUCAAAAUGAUGGAACCUGUCCAUCGGUAAGGUUCAAGAGGAGGUGUCCUAACGAACUGAUGAAUUUGGGUUUGGCUUUUACAGAUAGGUGUGGUGGAAGGGAGAAGAAAGUGGGUUCUAGGUGGGGAAACUCUUACCACUAAUGGUUGGUUUAGAGUAGUUCUCAUCAUAUGGAUACUUUUUAGUUACAGUGGCUGGAUUUGGAUGUGGGAUGGUGAUAGGCAAGGUCCGUUAAUUGACUUGUAUAGACAGUUUUGCAUUGAAAAUAGAUGAUUGUGCUUGGCUUUUCAUCCAGAGGUACUAGUUGGCAUUUUUGUUUUUCCUUUAAUCAGUGAAGAUAGUGCUGAUGGUGGUUUGCUGUUCAUUGUCAGUGGGAAAACUUACUUGGUCGCAGAUGGUCAGUGGCUGCCGGGAGGGUCGGGGCUUUUCUUGCUUUUAAGACCAUCUGUUUUUUUUGGGACCAUUCCAUUUGAAGCAUAUGUACCUUUUCCUCUUGUUUUAUCCCAGAAAAGCCUCUUCACACCACCAAGCUAUUCACAGAGAAAAACUUGCCUUAACUGCCUGCUGGCGCAGGUGGCUUGAUCUUUACUUUCUUGUGGCCCUGUGGAAGUUGGGACAAGAUGUAGUGGAUCUGAUGGCAGCACCACGGGACUCUUGCAGCCCUCUCUUCAGAGUCUCGGUUGGAAGAGGCCCAACUGGUUUUCUCCUUUAUAGUGAACAAACAUUUGGGAAACUCUGCUCAGUUCCUGACAUCUGAAACAGCUGAAUAACUUUCAGUUGCUCCGGACACUGACAGAACAAUACAGUUGAGUCGGGAUGGUUUGGAGACUAAUUGGUUGGCAACUCUUUCUACUCAGCAGUUCUUCAGCUGUUCCAGAAAAAGAAACUGCUGGAGGAUUCUGGUCCAGGAGAAGCUUGAAGUCCUGUCUUCGUAAAUAGAUGCUCAGAUCGACCUGUGAAAUCUCACCAAUGAUGAUUUAAAUGAAUCUACACAUAUACUAUCAAGCUAUUUUCAACGGGAAGAGGAAAGUCUUUUCAACAAAUAGGCUGGGACAGUUGAAUAUCCAUAGGGCAAAAACAAAAGACAAAACCCUAACUCACACCAUACGUAAGAGUCAAUUUGAGAUGGAUCAUUGACUUAAAUAUAAGGUAAAAAUUAUGUAUCUUGACAACCUUGAUGGAGGCAAAGAUUUCUUAAAGAGGAGAUGGAAGGUAUUAACCAUAAAAGAAAAAAAAAAGGGAAUUCAUCAAGAGACAUUGUUAAUAUUCAUAGGGGAAGCCUCAGACAGUGAGAAAAUGUUUACAACACAAAUCUGAGAAAGGAAUUGAAUCCAGGAUACAUGAAAAACGUCAAACAGAACUGCUACAACUUAAUAAUAAGGCAACUCAGUUUUUAAAAAUGACUCGAAUAUAGAGACACUUUAAGAAAGAGGAUAUAUGACUGGAGGAUAAGCCCAUGAAAAAGUGCUCAAUAUCGUUAGUCAUCAGGAAAAUGUAAGUCAAAACUACAGUAAAUACCACUAUACAGCCACUAGAAUGGCUAAAUGGAAAAGGCUGGUAACUGAUUAUCAAGGUUGCCUCUCUGGCAAGGAACUCUCCAGCUUUGUUGGUGGGAAUGAAAACAGUACAACCACUUAAACAGCUUUGACAGUUUCUUAAAAUUUAAAUAUAUAGAUCUAUCCUGGUCUCUAUAAUAGAAAUCAGAUUAGUGGUUGCUUCUACAGGUAGGGUAGAGAUUGAGUGGGAAUGUGCUUGAGAGAACCUUCUGGAAGAGUAGAACUGUUUUGGACUUGGGUUAUAAGGGGAUCUAUGUUCAUCUUCAUAAAAACCAAUUGAGGGACUUCCUUGGUGGCACAGUGGUUAAGAAUAUGCCUGCCAAUGCU